AACCAUAGAAACCUGCGGAGUACCUGCGGAGGGAUCAUUAACACUCCAAUCUUUAAAAGAGACUCCUUUUCUCUCUUUACCUUUAAAAGUUUAGAGGGGAGGGACUCUUUUAAAAACCCCCUCUUUUUCUCUCUAAAUGGGAGAAUAAAGAGUUUUAAGCCUAAAAAUCUCUUUUUUGGGCUCUUUGUCUUAUUAUAGAGGUAUACCUGAUUGAGAUGGGCGACCACCUCAAUAAUGGUA
rnacentral:misc_RNA from 1 species